rnacentral:rRNA from 1 species
UGGGGAAUAUUGGACAAUGGGCGCAAGCCUGAUCCAGCCAUGCCGCGUGAGUGAUGAAGGCCCUAGGGUUGUAAAGCUCUUUCACCGGUGAAGAUAAGGACGGUAACCGGAGAAGAAGCCCCGGCUAACUUCGUGCCAGCAGCCGCGGUAAUACGAAGGGGGCUAGCGUUGUUCGGAUUUACUGGGCGUAAAGCGCACGUAGGCGGACUAUUAAGUCAGGGGUGAAAUCCCGGGGCUCAACCCCGGAACUGCCUUUGAUACUGGUAGUCUUGAGUUCGAGAGAGGUGAGUGGAAUUCCGAGUGUAGAGGUGAAAUUCGUAGAUAUUCGGAGGAACACCAGUGGCGAAGGCGGCUCACUGGCUCGAUACUGACGCUGAGGUGCGAAAGCGUGGGGAGCAAACAGG